rnacentral:rRNA from 1 species
UAAGGAAUAUUGGUCAAUGGAGGCAACUCUGAACCAGCCAUGCCGCGUGCAGGAAGAAGGCCCUAUGGGUCGUAAACUGCUUUUGAACAAGAGAAAACCCCGGUACGUGUACUGGGUUGAUAGUAUUGUUAGAAUAAGCAUCGGCUAACUUCGUGCCAGCAGCCGCGGUAAGACGAAGGAUGCAAGCGUUAUCCGGAUUCAUUGGGUUUAAAGGGUGCGUAGGCGGACUGAUAAGUCAGUGGUGAAAUCUCUCGGCUUAACCGAGAAACUGCCAUUGAUACUGUUAGUCUAGAGUACAGAUGAUGUGGGCGGAAUAUGACAUGUAGUGGUGAAAUACUUAGAUAUGUCAUAGAACACCGAUUGCGAAGGCAGCUCACAAAACUGUAACUGACGCUGAGGCACGAAAGUGCGGGGAUCAAACAGGAUUAGAUACCCCCGUAGUCCCCUGAGCGGGCUGGCAAGGCGCAU